AGGUGACAGCAGAUUGCCCUUCCAAGAAAGCUUCAUCUCAAAUUCAUCAAGGAGCAAGGACUGGCAGAACACUGGGUCUUGAAAAGAUAACUUUUGAUGGGGAUAAAUGUAAACAGAUGCUGAACAACAUGCUGGAUCUGAAGGCAUAAAUACUCUCCACAGAGCUGCAAAUUGAAGACUCAAGGCUGUGGUUGUGUUGAAAAGGGACUUUUGGGCCCAACAAGGGGAACUGUGAGCAGCACAAUCAGAUCGAGAACUGGACAGGAUUGCUGUGGCAAUUGAAAUUUUAACAACAAAAAGCCAUGGAAAAGUAAGACAGCAUUAAAUAAUUAUUUCCCCUUUUUAUUUCUCCAGCAAGAGGGGCAAAAGGGAGCUGCCUUCUGUCUGCAGUCUUGCCUUUCACUGUGCUGUUAGGUGUGUGAGGUGGUAGGAGGUGUUGGUUUAGGGACAUCUCCACAUGACAUUGUUGUAUUAUCUUGAGAACAAGGAAGAAAUGAAGGAGAGAGGUGUCAGGUGUGCCUGGGUGCUCUGGUCAGGACAGGAUGUCUGGAGCAUCAGGGUCACACAGGUCCCAUGCUGUUUAAAAUCAGGCUGGCAGAAUACGUUGGGGUGACAA